AGGAAUAAAAAAAGACAGUAGUUCAUCCUUAUUUCUUGAAAUCCGCCACACAGCCAGGACGGAGCUUGGGAAAGUCUAGAGCCAGGGAUGGCUCUCUCCCUCCUCUAUGCUCAGCCCUCACCCUGACCAUCAUUCUACAGGGAUACUCUGCAAGGUGCAGGCUAAUGUGAACUAUGAAUGUCCACUGAGAAAGUCACAUUUUAAAAUUGUAAAUUUAACUGAUAUACUCCUCCUCCCAAUAGGACAGAUAACAUGUUACUAAGGUUCUGAGUGUCAUCUAACUUUGUUUCUCUUCUGCCUCAAGAAAUCUAACAAGUAGUUUUGGUAUUAAUAUCUGCGUUGGAGUACUUCCUUAUAUCUUACUUUGGACGUAAGUUUUAGAACCUAAAACUAGGAGUCAUUGAGUGAGUGCUAUAAUGACCGAAUAUUUGUUUCAAAGUGCAUUGCGUUGCUUCUUUCCUGUGAUCCUUGACGAUAGGAUUUGAAACCCAACAUCUAUCUACUCAUUCUGAUUCAGAGGCUCAAGGGCAUUAAGUAAUAGAUAUCCAACAUAAGAGACCCACAACAAUGGUCCUAUAGUUUUAUUAAAGAUAGUGAAAAAGCUAAUAUCAAGUUCCUUAAAUGAUAGUGAGACAAACUUUCCAUGAGGCCAGAGGCCCCCUCUGUCAGUCAAGCAACAUCCUCUACUCUCAGGCUCCCAUCUGACACCAGGUUGUGAAGGCCUUGGGGCCCUUUACCCAUGACUAGCCCAUGACAGAAUGCUUUCUUCCACAGAGUCUUCACUCCCUCUAAAGAGGCCAGGAGUGUUAGGUGAGGAGGAAUGUACAUGCUGAGGUCAGUUCUGGACCAGCCCCAGGCCAAUGGUACAGAGAAGGAUGAUAGCAGCUGAAUGGCUCAGAAAGAGUCCAAAGCCAGCUUAACACUGGUAACAAUUUUACCCCUACCCCAAGAGCUGACAUGCGUCCAAUUCCAGUUCCUCUUUCCCCACCUAAAUGAUCCCAGAGGUGGCACUAAGCCCAGCCCACUCACAAUCUAGGACAGCGAUAGUCAGACAUCUCAAUGGGCCCAGCUUCCCAGUAGUAGGAGUGACUGAGAACAGCACUAGGGGGCCCCUGCCACAUCAAAGAGAAGCAUCUAUGAGGGGUUACUGCCAUAAUGCCAACCUUCUUGCUGUGCUUUGAGAAACAAACCAAAUCCCACCUCCCUUCAAAGAGCUCUACUUGCUAUGAAAAGUAAUCCCACCCCCUACUAAAGUCCUGAGACUUAGGUGGCCCUGAGGCCAGUAGGAGGCUUUGGGGUAUCUCAAGAGCAGCCACACUUCUCCACCAAGGAAGUGUUCACAUAGUGCACACUCAUCUUGUGUUCGUCAUCCUGGACCAUCAGGGAGAAGAGUCUGACCAUGGUGGGACGGCAGGUCUGGAAGAGCCAGGGACAGGCUGGCAUCAGCGACAUCAGUGGCUGGAAUCUUUGUCUCUGCCAAGAGGGUGGGCACCACCUCCAUCCAAUACGUGAGUAAACAGUAGAUAUCCAAUAAUGACCCUCCCUCUGACUGGUAGGAUGAAAAGAUAAUGGGGAAAGAUCCCAGAAGGAAUCUUUGGAGGCCCCUUCUAUGGUCCUCGAACUCUAGAACAAGCUCAGUGGCAUGGGGGACAAUGGGCACCCAAGCCCAUAACUUUAUCAAGGAAACCCCCAAGAAGGAAACUGCCUCAAAACAGAGAAGCCAGUAGCUGUGUAGGAACUAUGAGCCUGUAGGGAAAGAAGAGUGGAAGCUCCAGGAGGCCACUAUCGUGGAAAGUCCCACCUCCCUUUCAGCUUCUUACUCCCCACUACCCAGCCGGGCAGGACAGGACAAAGACUUAGCAGUCUCAGCUUGUCAAAGUCAGUGCUUAGUCCACAGCAGCCAGGGAUGGACUGAGGUUCCUCAACUCCCAUCACCCUACCCCUGGAAUUAAGUCAGAAUGAUUGCCCUAGUACUGAAAAUCAUUCCAGUCACCAUGACCUAAGACAAGCCACUUGCCCUGUUUAUCUCCCAAAACACUAUAGUUGCCCAGCCCAGCAGCUGUGUACUUCACACUUUAGAGCAUCCUUACACACAGAACUUUAGGGCAUCAGCCAUAAAGCUUAAAGACAUCCUACAUACCAAGCCUGCAGAGCUGAAACCAGGAAGCAGAUUCCAUUUCUGCUAGACCAGCUGAAGAAUAUUCUGUACCCAACUCCUUGCUCUACUCACAAGAGCCCUUAAUAUCUGUUGUCAUUUACACCCCAUUCCCUGACCAGCCCCACAAAAUGCUGCCAGGCAGCUUCUGGAUCACUCCUUCCCUGGCAAAGACCAGCGCUCCAGCUACUUACUUUUGAAUAUGAGGGUAAAACCAUGUUGCCUGGCAGAAAAAAAUCUCAUUUAUGUGGGAAGGCAGCAUCGGGUUGGGACAGUCAAACGUCUCUACUGAGCUCAAACACAUGCACCAAAGACCCAGAGCCAAGAGCCCAGGAAUGAGCCAGGAGCUGCCACUUCUCCCACAGCCACCCUCCAACAUACCUGCUCUCAGAAGCGGGGCUUCCCCUUCGCUGUCUUUAAAUAUCCACGUGCCCAGCUGUAGGCCCUAUUCUAACCCCCCACAGCUUGUAGCUGAUCACGCAUUCAAGAGAAAUUAAAUUCAAGUGAGAGAAACUCUCACUCCCAGAACAACU
rnacentral:lncRNA from 1 species